GGUAGCUCAGUAGUAGAGUGCUUGCCUUGCAUGCAUGAGGCUCUGGGUUCAAUUCCUCAGUACCA
rnacentral:tRNA from 1 species